GGGUUGAGCAGGUUCUGAAUUAGUAGCAUAAGUAUCUUGCCUUUACGGAUAUCUAUAGGGUUGAUCUGGAUUGGCUUCUCUUAAAACAACUCACUUGAGCUUAAAGUCUGAAUAGGCUUGAACUAAGCCUGGAUAGGGAUUAACCCUUGAUCCAUUUUUCUUAAUUCUUGAAUGAACCAACUCUUAUUUGAUCUUUCUUUUUUGAUUUUUGAAGAAACCAAGAGCCCUUCUUGAUCCCUCAACUAACCAAGAACUAAUAAAAAAAGU
rnacentral:lncRNA from 1 species